GCAAAACUGCUGCCUUUUAAAGGCAGCAGCUUGCCGCCUUAAAAGGCAGCGAACUGCUGCCUUAAAAGGCAGCAGUUUUGCUGCCUUUUA
rnacentral:miRNA from 1 species